ACGGAAGGCAGCAGUGGGGAAUAUUGGUCAAUGGGGGAAACCCUGAACCAGCAAUGCCGCGUGAAGGAAGAAGGCCUUCGGGUUGUAAACUUCUUUGACCAGGGACGAUAAUGACGGUACCUGGAAAACAAGCCACGGCUAACUACGUGCCAGCAGCCGCGGUAAUACGUAGGUGGCGAGCGUUGUCCGGAUUUACUGGGUGUAAAGGGCGUGUAGGCGGGAUAGCAAGUCAGAUGUGAAAUGCGGAGGCUUAACCUCCGAGCUGCAUUUGAAACUGUUAUUCUUGAGUAUCGGAGAGGCAGGCGGAAUUCCUAGUGUAGCGGUGAAAUGCGUAGAUAUUAGGAGGAACACCAGUGGCGAAGGCGGCCUGCUGGACGACAACUGACGCUGAGGCGCGAAAGCGUGGGGAGCAAACAGGAUUAGAUACCCUGGUA
rnacentral:rRNA from 1 species